UGCAGUCGAACGAUGAAGCCCUUCGGGGUGGAUUAGUGGCGAACGGGUGAGUAACACGUGGGCAAUCUGCCCUUCASUCUGGGACAAGCCCUGGAAACGGGGUCUAAUACCGGAUAUCACUCCUGCAGGCAUCUGCGGGGGUCGAAAGCUCCGGCGGUGAAGGAUGAGCCCGCRGCCUAUCAKCUUGUUGGUGAGGUAAUGGCUCACCAAGGCGACGACGGGUAGCCGGSCUGAGAGGGCGACCGGCCACACUGGGACUGAGACACGGCCCAGACUCCUACGGGAGGCAGCAGUGGGGAAUAUUGCACAAUGGGCGAAAGCCUGAUGCASCGACGCCGCGUGAGGGAUGACGGCCUUCGGGUUGUAAACCUCUUUCAGCAGGGAAGAAGCGAAAGUGACGGUACCUGCWGAAGAAGCGCCGGCUAACUACGUGCCAGCAGCCGCGGUAAUACGUAGGGCGCAAGCGUUGUCCGGAAUUAUUGGGCGUAAAGAGCUCGUAGGCGGCUUGUCACGUCGGGUGUGAAAGCCCGGGG
rnacentral:rRNA from 1 species